CCUAAUUUCAACGCUCGAGCCUCUCAACUUUCCCUUCGUCGCCGCCUUCUCAACUUUCCCUUCGUCGCCGCCUUCUCAACCUCUCAACUUUCCCUUCAUUGCCGCCUUCUCAACCAUUGCCGCCUACUCAGCAGUCGCCGUCGUUCCUAGUCAGUAGUCGCCUCCGUGCCUAUUUAGGAGUCGCCGCCGUGCCUACUUGGUGUCUCAGCCGCACCCUCGGUCGGGAACAAACCUCUUUCGUGCAUUUUUUUUGUUUUUUAUCUCUUGAUCAGUUAUGUCUGUAGAAGGGUCAUCUCUUCCACUUACCAUAAAUAGUGUCAUAGCUGAAAGUAAUGAGGUUAAUCUUGAGAUCAACAAGAAAAUUGACAUAGCUGGUCAAGAAACACAAGAAAAUCCUGAAGCAAAAGAGGAAGAGGGGUGUCAAACAAAGAAAAGGAAAAAAAAAUUUAGAAGUUUGAAAUGAUUUUGACACAGUGGAUGGAUCAAAGAAAGAAAAAUGUAAACAUUGCCAAUCUCUUUUUACAUUGGGUAAAUCAGGGGCCACAUCAAGUCUUUUGAGGCAUAGAUUAAAUUGUGUGAAGAGAAAAAUUAAUUUACGAGCAACUGAACAACAAUCAAAGUUGAGUUUUUUGCCCACUGAUUCAGCUUCGCCAUCCAUUCUUACUUUGCAUUCUGGAAAAUUUGACAUGGAACAAAUGAGGGAGGCAGCUGCUUAUUGGAUCAUGAUGCAUGAACACCCAUUCACCAUUCUUGAUGAAGAGGGGUUCAAUUUAAUGAUAAGGCGUGGAAUGCCGGAAUGGCAAAAUAUUAGUAGGACGACAUGCCGAGCAGAUUGUAUGAAAAUUUUUGAGAUUGAGAAAAAGAAGUUGAAGAAGAGUCUUGAGUGUGUUAAUAAAAUAAGUUUGACAACAGAUUGUUGGAAGUCAAAGACUCAAAAGAUUGAAUACAUGGUUGUCACUGGACAUUGGAUUGAUUCUUGUUGGAAUUUACAAAAGAGAGUUUUAAGUUUCAUUAACAUUCCACCACCAAGGGGAGAUCUUCAAAUUUUCGAUGCCAUUUUCAAGUGUAUGAAAGAGUGGGGCAUUGAAAACAAGGUUUUCACUAUUACAGUUGAUAAUGCUUUAAGUAAUGAUUUGGCUAUUCGAUAUAUGAAAGAUACCAUUCAAAGGUCAAGAACAUUGGCAUGUGAAGGAAAUUUAUUUCAUGUUCGUUGUUGUGCACAUAUCUUGAACUUGUGCAUUCAAGAUGAAUUGAGGGAGAUUGAAGAUAUUAUUGGUAAUAUAAGGGAAAGUGUAGAAUAUGUAAAUCGUUCAGAGGUAAGAUGUGUGCAAUUUGCAGAGUGUGUAUAACAACUACCGUUGAAGGAUAAAAAAUUGAUUCGUGAUUGCAAAACCAGGUGGAACUCGACUUUUGAGAUGUUAAGUUGUGCACUCAAGUUCAAAGAAGCUUUUAAGAUGUUCAAAGAACGUGAUCUCUUUUAUGGUUGCUGCCCUCAAGAAGGAGAAUGGAAUAAAGCUCAAAAGAUUUGCUCACUGUUGGAGGCAUUUUGGACAGCCACACACAUUAUUUCAGGUAGUGAGUAUCCUACUUCAAAUUUAUUUCUUCAAGAAGUUCAAAAAAUAAAGUCAGCAUUGGAUAUUUAUGCACAACAUGAAGAUUUGUUUCUUAAGCAACUAGCUAGCAAAAUGAAAGAAAAAUUUGAAAAGUAUUGGAGUGAUUGUAAUUUAUUGAUGGCUAUAGCUGCUGUGUUAGAUCCAACCAAAAAAAUGCUUGCUGUUGAAUUUUGUUUUCCUAAGCUUUAUUCUGAAUUGGAUGCCUCUAAGCAUAUCUCAAAAGUUAAGGAGAUAAUUAAUUCUCUUUAUGAGGAGUAUGUUGUUGAAGAAACUAAUAAAGGAGCACCUCAUUUAUCUGAGUCUGAGAGUUUUGGUUCUUCAAGUGCUAGAAAAGUCAACAAAGUUCUGUGUAUAAUUGGGAUGAUUUUAAUGAUUAUUGUGCAAAAUUUGAAAUUUCGGAGACUAAGAGAUCUGAAUUAGUAGAUUAUCUUGAAAAGGGUCGUCUAAAGAAGAAUGAGAUUCCUGAAAAAUUUUCGUAUUUAGAAUGGUGGAGAAUGAAUAGAAUGCAGUAUCCAAUAUUGUCAAAGAUAGCAGUUGAUAUUUUAGCUAUUCCAGUGAGUUCAGUGGCUUCAGAAGCAACAUUUAGUGCAGGGACAAGAGUUAUUGAUUCUUAUCGUUCAUCUCUCUUUCCAGACACAGUGCAGACUCUACUGUGUGGGGGUGAUUGGCUUCGACAAAUACAUGGACUGAAAAAGAAGACUAAAGAAAGCUAAAACUUAUCAAGAAAUUGUUCUUCCAGUAUCUAUCUCUUAAAAGAAAUUCAGAAAUUCAGAAAUUCAGAAUGAGUUGCAGUGAUCAUUGCACAAAAAUCUGCAAAGACAUUAAAGUGCAGAGCUGGAAUGUGAGGUGCAUUUUGUAUCAAAUUUGUAUCAAGAUUUAGAAUGCAAUAUUCAAAUGAGGGGAAGCUUAAUUGAAAUUUAAGAAUAUGCUGAAAACAAAUGGUAUGCUUACUUUCAUUAGCAUCUGCAAAAUAAGAAAGGAUGAAAUUCAGAAACUCCAUCUAGACACAAAAAUGCAGAAACGGUGAAUUUUGUAGCUAUUGAAAUCUGAUCAUAAUAGACUAUAUUUCGGAAUUCAAUUGGUGGGUAUCAUUUUACCAAUGAAGUACUUGAACAUGGCAUCAUUAUUUCUGAAGAAGUGAAGAGAAUUGCAGCAACUGGAUACUCAGAAUAGAAAUGGAAAAAGAAUGCAAUAUGUUUUCUUCACACCUGUAUGACUGGAUCUGGACUUUCUAAAAUAAGGAAUUCAGCAGUCAGAACUCUACCUUCCAUUAUCCUGUGCCGAAUUUCCAUUGAAGCAAAAUUCUGAAACUUCAGUUUAGAAGGAAGCUGGAAUUCAAUAAAGUCAAUUUAUUUUGCAAGCACUUGGCCUGUAGAAUUGAAGUGAAGUAUUUGGCCUUCUAUUUCAAUCCAAUUGAAAUCUGCUAUGAGUUAAAGCAUGUAUGAACAAUGGAGGAGAUUGCUGGAAUUGUCAUGCUCCACUGCAGUACACAAAAUUCAGUAGAAUGAUUGUUUUUGCUGUGGAUGUACUGUGGAAUUUAGUGGUUGUGAUUCCUGGAAAUGCAUAAUUGGACUGGUACGGAAUUGUCAAGUUUAUAUCUCCAAUCCAGCUUGAUUCUUUUCCUAUUCUUCUCCGGUAUCUGAGCAAAAAGAAGGCAUGUUGGAUAGCCUCUUAAACUGUAAUUGAUGUAUCAACUUUGACAAGUUGCAUGCCAAGCUUUUGUGGCAAGUUUCUGAUAAGUGUAAAAAUCAAGUGAAGUUCUUGUUUACUCAAGGACAAGUAGCAUUUCAUUCUUCUCAAGUCUCAGGUGAUUUAAAAUCUUGAAUUUCUAAGAAUCAAAAUUGUGAAACUGAUCUUGGACAGCAAUAAUUGAAAUGUUCAAGAGAAGAAAAGGGGCCGCUGGAAUGUAAAUUCAGUGCUUUGAUUAUAAUGUGCUAAAUAUUUUAUAUAUCUUCAUGGUUAGUGAAAGGGCUUAAGUAAGUUCUUGCUUGAUCAGUGACAAGUAAGGAGUUAUUCUUUUCAAGCUUAUGACCAUUAUCUGGAAUUUGAAUUCUAAAAAUCUGAUCUGUGGAGCUGAGUUCAGUAGCAUGAAUGAUGAGUAUCAAAUGGAGCUUUAGAAUGUCAAGUUUCAGUUGAUAGCUGCAAAGGCUUGAGGAGGAAUAAAGAAGACAAAGGCUCUUGGUAUUAAUUGCAGAAAUUGAAAGCAAGAAACUGCAGGUGACAGUGAACAUGUGUAACUAUUGGGAACUAAUUCUUAUGGAUCAACAUUCAAAAUUCAAAAAAUAGCAACCUUCAAUUGUUGGAGUACUUCAAUUCAGAACAUUCAUGUUGUUCAGGAAUGGAAAGUUAAAGAAGUUGCAGAAACAAAAAGGGAAACAAUUCAGCUAGUGUGGUGACAGGGGAGUAUCAAGAACUAGAGGUUGUAUCAAGAAAAGGAGCAAGGGUUUGAAUCUUGGUGCCAACUUCAUAUGAUAUUUCUGAACAGCAACAGUUAGAAUUCAUCCAAAAUCUGAAACCUACAAUUAAAUCAAAGUGCUGGAAUUGGAAUUCAGAAGCUGCAACUAUAUAAGAUUGAAUUGAUAUCAUGAAUGAUGAAGAAAGCUGAGAUGAGUGGCACAAUAGGAGCUAGAUUUUGUGGGUUUUGAACUCUGUGAAACAUUUAACACUAAAGGUUAAAUCAGUUAUUAAGUGCCCCUCAAGUUCAAUGUGGGUAGAAAUUUGGGCAGAUGGAAGGCUGAAUUUGAAUCUGAACAAUUACCAUUGAAAGCUGCAGAAAUGAAAAAAAAUAUAGCAAGUGUGUGUCAAGCUCUUCUUGCAAUUCUCUAAUCAAUGGAAGGAUCAAGAAAAGCUAGGUGUAUGUAAUAUGAAUGCAUUUAUAAGCUGUUGGACACACAGAAUUUAGAAACUUGCAGCAAUCUACAGAAAGGAAAAAUCUGCAGGAACGAAUUUGAAGAUGAUGUUUAAGCAAGCUCAGUUCUGUAAUGUCAGAUUGAAGUCUAUCGAGUCCAUGAAGCUGUUCCAGAUAGUAUCAAAGACGUUGAAAAGGAAGAAGGAAACAAUUGCAAGAAUUUGAUAUGCAGAAUGAAGAAAGCUGUAAGCUGCAGCAGAGAAUGUGCAAAUUGUGCCAAUCUUUCAACCAAAUUUUCUGAUCAGGAAUAAGGCUGCAAGAAAUCGAAGUGUUGAUACUUAACCUGGCAUUCUCUUGAAGAAACUGAAGUUUGAAACCAUGAAUUUUCGAAGCUAACUACUCUUGGAUUCUUGCUGAAUUUGAUUGCUGAAUUGUAACAUCUUUGAGGAAUCUUCUUAAAGAAACUGAAAUGGAUGUAUCAGAUUGGUAUGUUGAGUGUCAAACUUAAGUUUUAUCUUGCCGUUACACUAAAGCUGAUUAAGACUUAAACUGGAAUUUAGUGCUAUUAUCAGAGGUUGAGGCUGGGUUGCAGUAAGUGUAUAAGAAAUGCAUUUCUUUGGUCAGUUGAGCAGCUUAAAUCUCAUUGAUUUUGAUUUCUGCAACUUCAAAAUCAUAGGAAGCUGAUUUAUAGUUUGAGUUGGUAUCAAAUUGAAUUGGAAUUCUUGCAAAUAUGAAUUUCUGAAUUGCUGGGUUUGGAGUUGUGAUUGUUCAUUGCUGAAUUUUGUGAUCAAAGCUGUUAAUAGUGAUUAAUGGAAUUUGAUUAAAUCUUUAUUGAAUCUGAAAAAUCAGAAACAGAGAAAUGAAAAUGCAGAAUUCUGAUGUGUAUACUGUGGUGCUCUACGAUUUCUUCUUUUUGCUUUCAAGUAAUGUAUGCAUAAAUGAAUGCAUUUUUUCAAGUGGAUUGCAAAAGGAAUGUAAAUCUCAAAAGAGAAGGAAACGACUUCAAGAGAAGAGCUCUCCUACA